rnacentral:lncRNA from 1 species
AGGAAAGAGUGGGGACAGUUGGCUGCCUGUGCAACUCUCCAGACUAGAAAGAGACCAUUACACAUGUUGUAAAGCCCAGAGGAAUAGUUUUCUGCACAUCUUGCCUGGCAAGUGCUCUUCUACAAUGUAAAACAAACUUCUCUGAAGUACAGAACUUGGUAAUAGCUAAACCCCGCUUGAAAGUAGAAAACGAAGUUCCAGAAAUAGAAGAAGGGCUUGGAAACAAUAUAAAGUGCCAAAAAAGAGGUAUCAUCAGCAGGAAGAGGGUGAGGACGCACCUGGAAGCCACACACAUUGGAGGACACAGGUUCUUCACUGCAAGUCUGUAAGCCCAAUAAAAGAAGCUUUGGUGAAAAAGGUAGCCUGUUCAGGACACAGCAGAAUGUGAUUUUUCACUUCUGAAGAAAGGGAAAUUUGGACACAGAACCAGAGAGGACAGUGCUGUGGACACGCAGACACAGGGAAGAAGCCAGGCGAAGGCAGAGGCAGAGGCUGGAGGCAAGCAUCUACAAGCCAACGGACGGCAAGGAUUUCCAGCCACCACCAGAAGCUGGGGAAGAAGCCGACAACAGAUUCUCUCAGAGCCUCCAGUUAGAACCAAUCAACCUUGGUUUUGGCCCUUUAGCAUGACAAACUGUAAAAACAAUAAAUUCUGUCUUAGGCCAUCCAAUCUUAAGUACUUUGUUAUAACAGCCCUAGGAAACUAACACAGAUUAGGGGGCAAACGGAGAUGGCCUAGACAAAAUAAUUAAGGU